ACAGUAGGGGUAACAUGUUGUCGUUAUCACCACUAGGUAAAAGAAUAGGAAUGGAACAUCCAUUUACGGUCAUUCUCAGGUGUCGCAUUCUGUUAUUGUUUCUUUUUGGUGUUACAAUUUUGGGUGUUUCCAAGUACUGGAGCAUAAUAUUGACGGUUAGAGCUUGAAAGAGUGUGGGUCAUGGCGAUUGAGAGUGCAAAGAGAGCUACAGACAGAGAGAAAAGUCACCAAAAUGUGAAAGCUAAAUGUAAUUU
rnacentral:lncRNA from 1 species